CUACGGGAGGCAGCAGUAGGGAAUCUUCCACAAUGGACGAAAGUCUGAUGGAGCAACGCCGCGUGAGCGAUGAAGGCCUUCGGGUCGUAAAGCUCUGUUGUUAGGGAAGAACAAGUACCGGAGUAACUGCCGGUACCUUGACGGUACCUAACCAGAAAGCCACGGCUAACUACGUGCCAGCAGCCGCGGUAAUACGUAGGUGGCAAGCGUUGUCCGGAAUUAUUGGGCGUAAAGCGCGCGCAGGCGGUUCCUUAAGUCUGAUGUGAAAGCCCACGGCUCAACCGUGGAGGGUCAUUGGAAACUGGGGAACUUGAGUGCAGAAGAGGAAAGCGGAAUUCCACGUGUAGCGGUGAAAUGCGUAGAGAUGUGGAGGAACACCAGUGGCGAAGGCGGCUUUCUGGUCUGUAACUGACGCUGAGGCGCGAAAGCGUGGGGAGCAAACAGGAUUAGAUACCCUGGUAGUCCACGCCGUAAACGAUGAGUGCUAAGUGUUAGAGGGUUUCCGCCCUUUAGUGCUGCAGCUAACGCAUUAAGCACUCCGCCUGGGGAGUACGGCCGCAAGGCUGAAACUCAAAGGAAUUGACGG
rnacentral:rRNA from 1 species